UUUCAAUAGACUUCCCAUCAUGUCAAUAAACAAGGCAGGUGAGUGAUACUUGUGCACAAACUAUUUCUUCUCAGUUAAAUAUUUUAACAUAUACUUUACUACAAUUUCCACUCAGGAAACCCAUUGUAGACCAACUGUAUUUUUGUCACUUUAGUCCUACCAGGACUACCAGCCGCUGGCAGUUACGUGGGGACCAUGGUAAAGAAAUCCACAGUUUUCAUCUGGGGACAAUUGCUCCAUCUGCACUGGUUGACCCCUUCUUAUCGACAGCAUCAAACAGAGAGGUCAAACCAUAUUACAGAGAAGUGUGUGAUCCCAGGGGAAAGGAUGUGGGGAAAUGACAAAGGAGCAGGUGUCCACAUGUUGCCCGGAAGCAUCUGUAAGAACUUAAUCUUCAAAGUCUAUGAUUGCCAUCGGGUGCCUGAAGACAGAGAUCUGAGCACACACAGCUGCACACGCGUGUGAGUGAAUUUACAUGGAUACCAGUAUGUAUAUGCUGUGGUCAAAUCGUUCUGCCUUCCAGGACAACUUGUUAUUGUUCAUGUAAAUGUGAUUUAACUGAUUUUUUCUCUAGCAUUUUUCCUUGACAUUUUAAAAGCCAGUGAAACUAUGGAAAAAAGAAAAAAGAAAAGAAAAAAAAACCUUUCAAUGAAGAAACAUAAUUGUUUUCAGCAAGCCACAUGUGACAUUUCAGAUGUCUGUUUUAUAUGACAUUGUCUUGAAAGAGUAAGCAUUUGGGAAGAUUUCUUGAAGUAAAUCAUUAGAAGGAAACCUAAAAC